CUCCUCCAUAGGUGGUGGGUAUAUGUCAGUGAGUUUCGCCCAUUCUACAUGCUCAUUUCGCUCGUAUAUUUCAUCCCCGCGUUGCAAUAUUUGUGUGCGUCAUGGGGUUGUGUCGCCAUGUGAAGGCAGGAGCGUGCAUACAUGUGUGGCUGCAAGUAAACGGCUUUCCUCAGGAAGAAUCCCGCCGCAGCGUCUGCUCUUUCGGAUACUUCGUACACUCCAGGGUGACUUUCGACGCUUGUACGAGCUAUUAUCCAUAUGAGCUGUCUUGAGGUGCUACUCUUCUUUGCCGUCGUUUGUCUCAACCGAAGAUAUUGGGCGGAAGCCAUCCACCAGCAAUGGCCGCAUAUGGACUCAGAGAGCGUCCCCUCGGCAUAGGAAAUCUGAUAGCCCUCAUCAUCAUAUGUAUUAUAGUGAUGGCCGUGUGCCUCUUGAUUUGCUACCUCCGCUGCAGGAGCAGACGGCUGCUCAGCAAUCCACCAUUACCGUCACAGCCUCCAGCCCAAUCAACAAGCAGUAUCAAGCUCCAUUUCAUAUCAUCAGUGUGAUCCAUGCAGAAAAGAAGGCUCAACAGUAUCAAGCUCCUUAUACAACAGCUUACAGCCCAAGUGUGAACAUGUUGGAACAACCUUCAGCGCCCCCACCUGCAUCACCACCGCCACCUUAGUCAGGCAGUGACAUCGACAUUCUUUGAAUCUGAGAAGAGACCAUCCCGAAACUCCAUCGCUCAGGGCUUUGUUGAAUCAAAGUGACCUGACUUGUACGACGAAAAAGAGGCCACGAAGGACUGUUCAUGUGCGCAAUCUCCACAGGGAAGUGCACACGUCAUCGCUAUAAAGUGGGGAUUUUAAGGCACUAAAAACGCACGUUUUAGGCACCGUAAAGGCACUCAAAAAGGCCCAAAAAGGCACGACUACCUUCACUACGAGAGAUGCCGCGCGCAUUGCUUGCUCUAUAUUACGGUAACGUACCACUCUAUCGCGUGCACUUCGGUCACAACUGCUGAUCAGAGAAAGUAUGCUUCUAAUAUAAAGUUUGAUGUGAUUCCCUUGCACUGCAAAGAUUCCGCAGAGCCAGCGAGAGAAAUAGGAAGCAAAAUAUUAUGGAGAUCUUGCCGUCCACAAAACCGCUCUGAUCGCAUGGCAAUCUUUAUUUUGGAAAUGAACUCAAGAGUGCUGUGGACGCAUCUUCUUAUUGAAGGUGUGAGGAAUAUAGAAAACAAACACCACUUCAAUGGGAUCCGAGCUGUGGCGUAUAGCCACGGGCAGGGGAGGAGGGGGCGGCAAGGGGCUCGAGCCCCUCCCCCCCCCCCCCCACCUACUUGCCGCAGGCCGACCCACGCAAAUCACAGGAGAAAAUAAUACAAAUAAAAUAAUAUACAUAUAAUGUGUUUGUAAGUGCCCAAAUAUCGCCACGCAGUACUGCAGUGCUGUUUCGACCGAAGGCCCAAUAAGGCCGAAAAGCUGUGCAGUACUGGCGUGGCUGAUCCCCCGGCUGAUCCCCCGACAAAGACUGAACUUUUUUUUUUUUUUGUGUGUGUGUGUGGGAGUGUAUGUGUAUAGCACAAUUUUAUUCAGUCAAAGGAAGGCUAAACAUAUUUAUGGAAACAAAAAAUAUUUUUUCAGGAGGCAUUAUGCGGUAUCUCAGGUGAAAGUUUCUGUGUUGAGACGUCACUUUUAUUUAAGAAAUAAAUUUUAUCUGUUGUAUCAGAGUUCAUGAACCAAGAAAAGGGCAUAAACGUACGUUGUCCAGCUGGCAGUGUGAGUUUUGGAAGCGUUCGGUUUUGACAAACCAUUCACUGGGUUGUAUAGUAAGUUUGGCCACGGUGUGGUUUGCGCAGGCUGCCAUCGUCAGCUGUGCAAAUAUGUCAUUGUUCAAUAUCGUCUGUAUCACGGUGGACGAGAAGCAAACGGUCCAUUUCUCCAUGUUAGCACACUGGUAUGGGAUGACAUCCAUUGUUUUAGAAGCCUAUAUGAAUUUCUGAAUUGUGAGAAAUGUCAAGCGGAUGAGAUCUAUCUCCAUUCUGCUCUUGCUAAUGAACCAGAGUGUGUGCUCCCUUUGAUCUGUUCUUUGAUACAUGUGGAUCAUUGGAUCAUGCGGGCAUAUUACUGCAUGUCAGAGUAUUUGAAGGAAAAAUAAAUUAUCUUCCACCUGU